AUUAUCUUUCGUAAAUUAGCUAAGCAUGCUAUUUAUUCUUCUGUAUUUAUUUGUGAGAGAAAGAUAGCAAGCUGCCCACUUCGUUUAUUUUUUUUAGAAAUUAACUCAGAUAGAUGUGUGCAUCAACUAAACUUCAAAACUGGGAUCUCAAGUAUCAAUCAAUAAGUACUUAGCCAACUGCACUAGAUACAGUCGAUGAGACUGAGACCGACGUAUUUUUAAAAUCAAGAGUUAGUGUAU
rnacentral:lncRNA from 1 species